rnacentral:rRNA from 1 species
GAUGAACGCUGGCGGCGUGCUUAACACAUGCAAGUCGAACGAAGCAUUUAAGACAGAUUACUUCGGUUUGAAGUCUUUUAUGACUGAGUGGCGGACGGGUGAGUAACGCGUGGGUAACCUGCCUCAUACAGGGGGAUAGCAGCUGGAAACGGCUGGUAAUACCGCAUAAGCGCACAGUACCACAUGGUACAGUGUGAAAAACUCCGGUGGUAUGAGAUGGACCCGCGUCUGAUUAGCUUGUUGGCGGGGUAACGGCCCACCAAGGCGACGAUCAGUAGCCGACCAGAGAGGGGGACCGGCCACAUUGGGACUGAGACACGGCCCAGACUCCUACGGGAGGCAGCAGUGGGGAAUAUUGCACAAUGGAGGAAACUCUGAUGCAGCGACGCCGCGUGAGUGAAGAAGUAGUUCGCUAUGUAAAGCUCUAUCAGCAGGGAAGAUAGUGACGGUACCUGACUAAGAAGCUCCGGCUAAAUACGUG